rnacentral:rRNA from 1 species
CAGCCGCCGCGGGAAUACGUAGGUGGCAAGCGUUGUCCGGAAUUAUUGGGCGUAAAGGGCUCGCAGGCGGUUUCUUGAGUCUGAUGUGAAAGCCCCCGGCUCAACCGGGGAGGGUCAUUGGAAACUGGGAAACUUGAGUGCAGAAGAGGAGAGUGGAAUUCCACGUGUAGCGGUGAAAUGCGUAGAGAUGUGGAGGAACACCAGUGGCGAAGGCGACUCUCUGGUCUGUAACUGACGCUGAGGAGCGAAAGCGUGGGGAGCGAACAGGAUUAGAUACCCCCGUAGUCCCUGUCUCUUAUAC